UAUUUCACUUUAAACUGAACUAUUUAGGGAACGACCAGACGAGAUUUCGGACACUCACUGAAAACACAUCGCUGCGGGACUUGCGUCAGA